rnacentral:rRNA from 1 species
GUGUCAGCAGCCGCGGUAAUACGUAGGGAGCGAGCGUUACUCGGAAUCACUGGGCAUAAAGGGAGCGUAGGCGGGUGUGCAAGUCCGGUGUGAAAUCCCCCGGCUCAACCGGGGAAUGCCAUCGGAAACUGCAUGUCUGGAGUGCGGGAGGGGAGAGUGGAACUCUUGGUGGAGCGGUGAAAUGCGUAGAUAUCAAGAGGAACGCCGGUGGCGAAAGCGGCUCUCUGGCCCGUAACUGACGCUGAGGCUCGAAAGCUAGGGGAGCAAACGGGAUUAGAUACCCCGGUAGUCCUAGCCGUAAACGAUGGGCACUAAGUAGGGGCGGUUCCGAUACUGUCUCUGCUGCAGCCAACGCGCUAAGUGCCCCGCCUGGGGAGUACGGUCGCAAGGCUGAAACUUAAAUGAAUUGACGGGG